rnacentral:rRNA from 1 species
CCUACGGGUGUCAGCAGUGAGGAAUAUUGGUCAAUGGCCGGAAGGCUGAACCAGCCAAGCCGCGUGAGGGACGACGGUGCCAAGCAUUGUAAACUUCUUUUGUCAGGGGACAAAAUCAGCCUCGAGCGCCUGACCGAGGGUACUUGAAGAAAAAGCAUCGGCUAACUCCGUGCCCGCAGCCGCGGUAAUACGGAGGAUGCGAGCGUUAUCCGGAUUUAUUGGGUUUAAAGGGUGCGUAGGCGGACUGUUAAGUCAGCGGUAAAAGUGCGGGGCUCAACCCCGUCGAGCCGUUGAAACUGGGUGUCUUGAGAGGGUGAGAGGUAUGCGGAAUGCGCAGUGUAGCGGUGAAAUGCUUAGAUAUCGCGCAGAACUCCGAUUGCGAAGGCAGCAUACCGGCGCCGAUCUGACGCUGAGGCACGAAAGUGUGGGUAUCGAACAGGAUUAGAUACCCGGGUAGUC